CUACCAUUACCUGUAUACUCAUUAUCUGCCUUCCAGUCUAAAAAACAUGGUGGAUCAACUGGCCAACUGUGAAGACAUAUUAAUGAACUUCUUGGUUUCAGCUGUCACCAAGCUGCCUCCUGUUAAAGUCACUCAGAAAAAACAGUAUAAAGAGACAAUGAUGCAACAGUCCUCCAGAGCUUCCCGAUGGGCUGACCCUGAUCAUUUUGCUCAACGGCAAACCUGCAUGAACACGUUUGCAACUUGGUUUGGAUCCAUGCCUUUGAUCCACUCCCAGAUGAGACUAGAUCCAGUUCUCUUCAAAGAUCAGGUCUCCAUACUGAGAAAGAAGUAUCGGGACAUUGAGCGGCUCUAAUGACUCAUUGAUUGUUGGACAGCACUCUGAUUGAAGCCAGCCUAAAGAACAUCCCUCCUGAGCUCAGUAAAUAAAGCUGUCUAAGGUGACUCUUGGCAGUUACUCUUUGAUGAACCCGACAGACUGACUCGAGGGGAUUUCUGCUAUCAGCUCAUUGACUAAAAGAUCUAUAUGACAAUUAGGGGUUUUAUUGUCAUUUUAUCAACACUGAGUAACAGGUCUGAUACCCUUUCAGGAGGGAUAUUAAUCCGAAGUCCAUGAAUUGAAAGUGUGAAAAUCAAUUAACAAUUAUUUCAUCUGCACUGUGAAGAACCAAGUGAAACACUAUUCAGUUGAUCAUGAACAAGUGUCUUAAAUUUUGGUCUGAACUUAUCUUAAAGCUUAUUUAUACCACUUAAGCUAAAUAUGAGUUAAGAAAAAUGAACUAUGUUUUGGAAUGUGUAAUCAUCAGACUUGUAUAGGAAUGGGCACUAAGGCAGUUAUGACUAAUGAACGUGCGGUUGGGUUUCACCAAUAAUGUCUGCCAUGUUUACUAUUAGCAUGCAAGUAAUUUUUCUUUAAAAAAACACACACAACCAUACUCACUACAGGAAAGCCCUUUACUAUGUAUGCAGGAAUUCCAUCCUCAUCAGUGGGGGUUGGGGAGGGUGGGGGGAUUUGGGGGGAAUCUGCCACGUAAAAUAGAAACUGCUAGUUAAAAUGUGUGCACAUACCUGCAUGUUAAUAUGCCUUACAGAUGACUUCCUGUAUGGCUUUUACAGGGUCGCUUGGCUGACCUUUGGAUCUGAAACAUUGACUUUGUGUAUUUUAAAGUGAAUGGCACAUAUGGUGCUUAUACAAGGGGUAGCUCCUUGUUUCUAUAUAAAGUUCUAUUUUUUAAAUGGCAGGGCUAUGUUAGCCUUUGCUCACAGGUACUUGAAUGUCUGAACACUUGAAGGAGUGCUGAGCGUGUGGCCUUUUAAUCACUUUAUUUUGGUUAAUAAUGGUUCAGCCUAGUUUUAUAUCUGUAAUUCAUUUAUUUUAAAUAGAAAUCCCAAUUCAUCUCGUGUGCUGAAUCUCCAAUCUACGUUUAGACAUUUCAUAAUUAAGGAUGUGAAAAAUAGGCCUUGUUAUAAUGUACAUAAUCUUGUAUAUUUAUUAUUCUGACAGAAUUGUGUAUAGUGUAUGGUUUCAAACAGAUUGACAAAGCAAUGUGGGAAUAAUUAGAUGGAUAACUGUAAAGCAAAACAAAAAUUAUUUUGUAUAAGAUGUACAUUUCUGAGGUUUUCUAACAUUUCCAAUGUUUUUUCAUAAUGUAUCAUUGCUUUAUAUUAAAAAAAAAUCCCCACACUGGUUGGAAUAACAUGACUACACACAGUUAGUGGGAUUAAACCUACAGAGGAGUGGAGAGAAUACAAAGCCAUAUAUUGUGAUUUACUGCAUUAGCUUUCAAAGCAUUAUAGCUCCAUGAAAAGUAACCUUUGUAUAGAUAGUAUCACCAAAGACUUCCAUAUGAUAUGCAGAUGUCUUCAUUAAUUUAAUUGUAUUCUUAGAAGCAUUUGCAGUUUAUCUGUGUUAUUGAACAUAGAUAUUGAAAGAUGGAUUUUCAUGGUUUCACUACAUUUUCUGCUGCUUUUUGUGUUUUUCUUUGCAGCUUGGGAGCUUUUGCACACUUCCUACUAGCCACCAUUCUUUGUGUACAUUGCAAAUGUAUACUGAUAUGAUUGUAUGUCACAAUUAUUGCUAGCUGAUUCUGGUGCAGGAGGGUUUACAUGCUAUCGCUCCAGAGCCAUUACAUUUGCAGUUUUCUUCCCCACGUCAUCUCUCUGCCAUUUGCUGACCCAUUUCAUAUACUUGGAGUGCCCAUUUUUGUUUUGUGGUUGGGACUAAUUCAGUAACAUUUACAAAUGAAGUAGGACAGAAUGCCAGCCAGAUUUAGGAUUGAUUACUAUAAAUUAAAGAAUAGGAGAACAGCUUUAGGCAUUACACCCUUGGAUUUUAUUGCAUGUCAACUACUUUUCAAGCUCUUUUGAAUUCAUUCAUUUUCUUAAUUUUCAGAAGAGUUGCUAGAAGUAUUAGUUGCAUGAAUGAUAGGUGGUGGUUAUUUGUAGAAUAAAAAUAUUAAUCUCCAGUUAAAUAGUUGGUGCAAUUAAAUUCAGGCAAGUAAAUUUUUUAAAAAGUACUAAAAGGUAUCAUGAAUGAUAUUAAAUGUUAUAGACUAAUUUGUUUGAACUUUAAACAAACGUUUUAGAAUUUAAGUUUGUAAGGAUUGGAAGGAGACACUUUAUUUGUUUUUAAAGUAAAUAAUUGCAUAAGUCAUUUUACUCUGUGACUUACAGUCAAAGAUUUGGGUUUGCAUGUGGCCGUCUUCAAAAUUUAUGCAGAAAACUGGAACUGUAUCUCUCUGGAACCACUCCAGUGACACACAACCUGCUUAAGAAUUCCAUUGCAAAUACUGGACAAAGAAGCUUUCCAUGUAAACCUUCACACCAGUCUUUAAGUCUUAUCCAGAGGUAUAAAUGGUUAUAUUAGGGGGAUUCAGAAUGUUAUGUCCUUAGUUUCUCUUCCACAAGAUAACCCCUUUGCUUCACGAGCACUGGAAUAAUUAUUAGAUGGUUACUGACAUUCCUGGGGCAGAUUUCAGCCCCAAGGGUACAUAUUCUGGUGCUGCAUGUUUCUUUAUGGUUAUUAAUUUUUGACUAUUUAUAAUGAAUUUGUUCCACACACAAAGUAUUCCAUUAUCCUGUGCACCCCACAAUACCUUAAGUUUCUGCUUCUGUAAUUAGUAGUAUUACAUUGGUUCAUUUUUAUAGAUAUAAAUGAUUAAAGACUAGAAAAUAAAUGGAAAUUUUGUAAGAUUUGGUUUUUGUUAAAAAUAAAUGAUAUUUGAUAAUA